rnacentral:lncRNA from 1 species
AGCAACAUCACCUGUGAGUAAUUAAGCAUCUCUCGAGAAUUGCUGAAGUUGGCUUUCAAUUCUUGGCCUUGUUACAAAUAGCUACUUAGGCUAGUUGGACCCUGCCUAACGGUUGCGUUGCAGAUUAUAAUGCCCAAUAUGAGCCGGGAAGUAAGAAGGCGUUAUGGCCAACAUGUGUUUUUCAACAAGGCUCGCAGUCACCUGUGGCACAGGCAGGUUAACUGCAGGUCACCACUAAAAAUAUGCGGACGUAUCCAGUUCAGGGGCUCUGACACCAAGCAAGGCUUUUACACGCGAAUGAGGCAUGUUGGAACACCUGAAGAAUAUUGGAAGCUAAAUCAGUUUUCAUCCAAAUCUGAAGACUUACAAAUAAAUCACUUCAAGCCUUUGAUAUGGAGUGCCAACACAUCUUAGGACCCUUGAAUCUACAUGGUCUUGGGUAACUUCUUCAGAACACCCCCAAAAAGAAUACUUUCAUUAAAGGGCAUCUGCUGAAACACAUAAUGAGAACAAAGGCUUUAGAAUGCUCUUGAUUUUAAUCAAGAUACCUAAAAUAUCUUUACAAAAUUAUACAUGACUUGUGAGACUUCAUACAUGUUAAAACACUCGGGACUGUGAUAUUUAAAUGAGGUCAACAUAAAAAGUGAUAAUAUUAACAAACUAUGGUUCAUUUAUAAUAUCAGUGACUUUAGAGUUAAUAAUGACAGAAAAGUUAAAGUGAUCCAACUGCUUAAUGAAGUAAAAAGCAAGAAAAGAUAAGGUAAUGGUUGAGCUGCAAAUCUAAUAAAAGUAGCCUGUAAGGUAGGAGGUUUAAAUGU